GUGAACGCUGGCGGCAGGCCUCACACAUGCAAGUCGAACGGCAGCACAGUAAGAGCUUGCUCUUACGGGUGGCGAGUGGCGGACGGGUGAGGAAUACAUCGGAAUCUACUUUUUCGUGGGGGAUAACGUAGGGAAACUUACGCUAAUACCGCAUACGACCUACGGGUGAAAGCAGGGGAUCUUCGGACCUUGCGCGAUUGAAUGAGCCGAUGUCGGAUUAGCUAGUUGGCGGGGUAAAGGCCCACCAAGGCGACGAUCCGUAGCUGGUCUGAGAGGAUGAUCAGCCACACUGGAACUGAGACACGGUCCAGACUCCUACGGGAGGCAGCAGUGGGGAAUAUUGGACAAUGGGCGCAAGCCUGAUCCAGCCAUACCGCGUGGGUGAAGAAGGCCUUCGGGUUGUAAAGCCCUUUUGUUGGGAAAGAAAAGCAGCAGGUUAAUACCCCGCUGUUCUGACGGUACCCAAAGAAUAAGCACCGGCUAACUUCGUG
rnacentral:rRNA from 1 species